rnacentral:misc_RNA from 1 species
GAUGAAGAACGUAGCGAAAUGCGAUAAGUAAUGCGAAUUGCAGAAUUCAGUGAGUCAUCGAAUCUUUGAACGCACAUUACGCCCUGUGGUAUUCCGCAGGGCAUGCCUGUUCGAGCGUCAUUUCAACCCUCAAGCUCUGCUUGGUGUUGGGCCCUGCCCGCUGCGGCCGGCCCUAAAGACAGUGGCGGUGCCGCCUGGCCCUGAGCGUAGUACAUCUCUCGCUCCAGUGCCCGGUGGUAGCCUGCCAGAACCCCAACUCUCGUGGUUGACCUCGGAUCAGGUAGGGAUACCCGCUGAACUUAAGCAUAUCAAUAAGCGGAGGA